GCUUAGUUUGAACAGGGCAUUGGUUAGCCUUGGCUAGCAGAAAACAGACUGGUGACAGAGCUCUCUCCUUCCUCCAAGACAAGGACAGGAGCUUGAGACUGAGAUGCGUGAAAGAACAUCAGGGAAAUUCUACAAGAAGUCCUUGUGAACUGAAAAGCUGUCAACCUCCUGGGGGAAGCGUGUCUUCCAUAGGAAUGCGAACUGUACCAAAGAUAAUUGAUUUGAUUUCAAAUGACAUCCUCAUCUUAAAGACUUUUGCUUUUGAAGCGGAUGAAACUAAGGAA